rnacentral:rRNA from 1 species
AACAAGGAUUCCCKUAGUAACUGCGAGUGAAGAGGGAAAAGCUCAAAUUUAAAAUCUGGCAGUGUUUCACUGUCCGAGUUGUAACCUAGAGAAGUGUAACCUGCGCUGGACCGUGUAUAAGUCUCCUGGAAUGGAGCAUCACUGAGGGUGAGAAUCCCGUCUUUGACACGGACCACCAGUGCAUUGUGGUUGUGCUCUCAACGAGUCGAGUUGUUUGGGAAUGCAGCUCUAAAUGGGUGGUAAAUUCCAUCUAAAGCUAAAUAUUGGCGAGAGACCGAUAGCGAACAAGUACCGUGAGGGAAAGAUGAAAAGAACUUUGGAAAGAGAGUUAAACAGUAUGUGAAAUUGUUGAAAGGGAAACGUUUGAAGUCAGUCGCGUCGGUUGGGGAUCAGCCUGACAUUGUUGGGUGUACUUCCUGGUUGACGGGCCAACGUCAGUUUUGAUUGCCAGAAAAAGGCCAAAGGAAUGUGGCACCUUUGGGUGUGUUAUAGCCCUUGGUCGUAUAUGGUGGUUGGGACUGAGGAAAGCAGCGUGCCGAAAGGCCGGGUUUCGACCACGUUCACGCUGAGGAUGUUGGCAUAAUGGCUUUAAGCGACCCGUCUUGAAACACGGACCAAGGAGUCUAACAUGCAUGCGAGUGUUUGGGUGGAAAACCCUUACGCGUAAUGAAAGUGAAAGUUGAGAUCCCUGUCGUGGGGAGCAUCGACGCCCGGACCAGAACUUUUGGGACGGAUCUGCGGUAGAGCACGUAUGUUGGGACCCGAAAGAUGGUGAACUAUGCCUGAAUAGGGUGAAGCCAGAGGAAACUCUGGUGGAGGCUCGUAGCGAUUCUGACGUGCAAAUCGAUCGUCAAAUUUGGGUAUAGGGGCGAAAGACUAA